CAGAACAUCAAUAAAACCUGAAGAACUUAUUUAAAAUUCACAUGUCCGACUUUCUUCCAGAUCCACUAAAUCAGUCCCGGCCAGAGGCGUUUUUUAUCAGGCUUCACCUGCGAGUCUCUGGCACAACUAGCUCUUCCUGAUGUGGCCAGCCGGAAACAGAAAUGGCGACUGGAACAUGAAAGAUGGGAAAACUCCUGAUGGAUGCUGUGAACAGCUCAGAAUAUACCCUUGUCCUUUGGAGCCUGCACACUCAGGGAUAAGACAGAUAAAUACACGGCUAUGAGAAGUACCAGUGUGGAAGGACCGUGAGUAUGAUAAACAGUCAUAGCAAAUGACGGAUCUACUUAAGAUACAGAAAAUUAUUUAACACUUUUUUUGAGACAGGGAGCUAAUAAAAAACUCAGACUGACCUUGAACUCA
rnacentral:lncRNA from 1 species